GCCCGGGUAGCUCAGUCGGUAGAGCAGAGGAUUGAAAAUCCUCGUGUCGGCAGUUCGAUUCUGUCCCUGGGCACCA
rnacentral:tRNA from 1 species